UACAGAGGGUGCGAGCGUUGUCCGGAAUCACUGGGCGUAAAGGGCGCGUAGGCGGCCUGAUAAGUAGGGGGUGAAAUCCUGUGGCUUAACUGCAGGGCUGCCUCCUAGACUGUUAGGCUCGAGCACGGUAGAGGCAGAUGGAAUUCCCGGUGUAGCGGUGGAAUGCGCAGAUAUCAGGAGGAACACCGGUGGCGAAGGCGGGUCUCUGGGCCAUUACUGACGCUGAGGAGCGAAAGCGUGGGGAGCGAACAGG
rnacentral:rRNA from 1 species